rnacentral:lncRNA from 1 species
UAUUUCGUAGGGUUUCUCUUUGGCUUCGGCUCUCACUCCUCCAGAGGAUCUCUGCCAAACGUUUUUCUGAAAAAGGAUUUUUGAACGCCUGUUGGUAGGGCGCCUCUCCGGCUUCGGCUCAUAUAGGGAGUCGUAUCAAAUAUUUUGCUGGAGAAGCCGUUUUAAGUAAUAUAAGUAGAGAAGCCACAUUCAUUUUGGCGAAGCCACAUAUUAUGGCUCUAAAACGGCUCUGGCUCCUCUAGAGAAGUCUCUCAUGAGAAGUCAUGCCAAACACACUUUAAGUAAAAAAGCCUUGAUGACGAAGCUGUUUUGACGAAGCCACAAAUUAGAACUUCUUCAAAACGACUCUGAAUCCCCUAAAGAAGUCAUGUCACACAGAUCCCAAAUUAUUAAGUUUAUCUUGCCUUGCUAUACAUAAGGCUUAAGACUUGCGAGACCCGACGAGCCAAUUGAGCUUGCUCGUGAUAGCAAGGGAAUUUGUAGAAGAACGUUGCCUGCAAAGACCCAGAGGGUGCGACUACUAGCAAACUUAUCAAACAUACUGCAUAGAUUUAAAUUCUACUUGAGUUAGAGUAGGCAAGUAUACAAAAGGGCCUUCAUCAGUAUUGCCACGUAGUACUACAACAGAUGGAAAAGAAAAAGGGGUCAGGUUAUCAAAAUUCAACGGAUGUAGGAGUACUUGUACAACAAAAGGCUGAAAGAGAUGAGAAAGAUACCCCGUGCAAUGCCAUCAGUGAAACGGCUUUUCGCCGUGCAACUGUAGUACAUGCGGGAAGUGUUCCCCGCAGAUGCAAAAACUGCUCGGAUCGGGAUCGGGAAGUGUACUGCUGCCCUACUGCCACAUUUCCCGGAUAGGGAACCGCACCGCACUUGGGCAGUUGGUUCCCGUCUGCGGCGGCACGUGAGGAGCGACGCCGAGUCGUUGGUGCCCGGCGAGCAGCCACAUGCAUCGGCGCGUGGAGAGACAGGACAAAGGCCAGGGGAGGACCUCCUUUUCGCCGCAUCGGUGAGGCAGGUGGGCGUUGGCUGGCGAGAGGGAGCCCCCGCGUUCCGCCCCCAGCCGGCCUGACCUGACCGCGGACCCGGAGAGUGAGCUCAGCCCGGCCGGCGUUUGAAGCGGCGGGCGGUGGUGCAGGUCGUCAGCUGGUUUGCCUGUGGUUGGGUUUGGGUGGUUGGGUUGGGUUGGGUCUGCGUGCGUCGCCUCGUCUCGGG